UUAUAAACGUGAUUGUAGUGGAAAUACUUUUUGUUUGCAGAAACUUUAAUUACCUGUCAUGCUGAGGUACGAAGCAUCUGCAGCCGAUGAAACAGAUGCUUCGUGCCUCAGCAUGACAGCCAUUGAGCAAAAAGAUUGAAACGAAAAGCAGGACGAACA
rnacentral:sRNA from 1 species